UCAAAUUUCUUUCAUUUCUCUCUCUACUUUCCGCUCGAUUUUUCUCUCAAAUUUUGUUUGAAUGGAUAUUUGAUUUUGAGUUUUUUUGAAGAAAACAACACCACGAAUCUGGAUCUUCAUACAUAAAAGACAAGAGAAGUGCAAAAAACCCUCCAAAACUGUAUGUUUGAUUUUCGAUUUUAUGUUCUUCGUGUUCUUCGUCUUGUUCUUCGUGUUUUUCGUGUUCCUUGUGUUCUUCAUCAUAUUCUUUGUGUUCUUUCGUAUUUUGGUUUAGACCCUACAUAACUAGUUGGAUCUUCACACGAAAGAGGCUUGGAGAGUGCACACAACCCUAAACAACAAUAGGUUUGCUUUUUUGUGUUCUUUAUAUUUUCUUGGUUUUUCUGGGUUCUCUAGGUUUUCUGGAUUUUCCGAUUAUGACGUGAUAAUACGAACAUAAUGGGUAUGAAUUUUGUCUUAAUACGUUUUUUUCAUUACGUUUGGUUUAUCGGAAAGUAGAGACAACAAACGUAUUAAGACGAAAUAACAAACGUAAUGACAACGAAAGCAUUAACGGGAAUGUAUUGUCACGAACAAAUGUUUGUUAUCUUUGUUGUCUUUACGUAUGUAUUCCUGUGAUACAAACGUAAUGAUAAAAACGUAUUAAGACGAAAUAAGAAACGUAUAAUGAGAAUGUAUUAUCACGAUAUAAAAAACGUAUGUUACGUAACAAUACAUACAUAUCAAUACGAACAUAUUGGAACAAUACAUACGUAUUACAUAACAAUACGAAUGUAUAAAUAUGAACGUAUCAAUAGACAGUACAAACGUGUCAAUACGAACGUAUUACGUUUAUAUGAAUUUACGUGCUUUCCAACAUUUUUUUGUAAUAUAUUAAGGUCUUAUGUUAUUUAUGGUUGUUGCAAGCGUACUUAAUAAACACGGUGUGAUAUGUAGCAAUCAGAGAAUUUUAAAUUAUUGUUUGUGUUGAAAGUACAAAUUUUAAUUCGACAAUACAAACAUAUUACGAAUUUAUAUUAUUACGUGUCAAUACGAACAUAUUACGUGUCAGUAUGAACGUUUGUGUUCUCUAUGAAAUAUACGUCAUACUACGAAUCAAUACGAACA
rnacentral:lncRNA from 1 species